UUGGUUAUGCAAUGCACAGUCCUCCCACAGUGUCUAACUAGUGUUGAAGACCCACCGUAACGUGAAGAUCCCCAGCACGGCGGCUACCUCUCUGAUCCAUGGAAUCUUUUGGCUUUUUGUCCUCCUCUGGAAUAUGAGCAACCAGACCUGGCUAUUUCAGAGACAUUCACGUUGUUAGCUAAAGGACUUGGAGACCUGCACGCCUCACAGACAUGAGCAGGAGAGUUUAUUGACAAGAUUAUUCCUAGAGGAACCCCAAGCAGGCAAGAUGGAAGCGACAGAACAAGCGGGGUGUGCCAAUCUACCAACAAAAUGAGGAGGGAGUUGGGAGAAUUGUGUGGAGUUGAGACCAAUCAGUGAGGGAGGGAAUGGGAAGAGAGGCGGGGGGACAAAAAGGUGUUAGUCCUGAUUUUUUAAGCAAGGGCUGGUAAACAAUGUUUAGAAAUACAGACGUGGCAGGGUCCGACUGAAGGAACAUCCCAGGGGACUUUGGACUUUACUGGUGGCACUAUAAACUGGACGAAACGGCAAUGUGGCUUUCCAUGGGAGUACAGUGACACCUUCAUUCCAUUCCUUCCUUUACUGUUGACCAAUCACUGAGAUUACAUAUUGAGAUGCUCCCCCCCUUCACCUGCAAGUCUCCACUUGUAGUGCACCCUUACAUCCAAGGUGUUGCUAUGAGGAUGCAUGGUGAAACACAAUGUACCACCUUAGGAUACGAAUCACCUUGGCAGGUUAGGUGAGCUGCAGGAUCAUGGGCACCACGGUUAUCACCCUUGAUGAUGUGCGAGCACUGGAGCUCAAAGAGGAGCAGGAGGAGUCCAUCUUGGCCAUGCUAGGCAUCGUCGGCACAUUCCUCAACCUCUUUGUAAUUGUUUUCGUAUACAUCUACACCACACUGUAGUGCACACACAGAAGACAACCGCAGCCAUCAAAAGGACAAGGACAAGACAACUGGGAAAGUAAAACCUUUUGGCGAAGUGUGACAUGAAGGUCAUUACCAGUGAGAUGGACGCAAUGUGUCAAGGUUAUGGUCACAGUUACGAGCUGGAAAGAUAACGAAGGGCUGGGAAAAGCAGCAUGAACGAGGUACUGCUGGAACCAUGACGAACAUGAGAAGAACAUAACAAGGACUGACCAACUGCCACUCUAACCCAUUUUUUAAUGACUGCUGAUGAUACAGUAUUUCAUCAUAUCAUAUAAAAAAUGUUUUAUUAUCUAACACGCAUGGAAAUGUCGGAAAGGGUAUCUGCAGGCAUUUCUGACAUCAUUUCGGUUGUGUUGUUUCACAUUUCAAACAUAGAUCACUGGUAUAUAAGUGGAUGCGGAUAAGCUUCAAGUUACUGUUCCCUCCUGAAGAACCACUCCUAGGGAUGUCCCAUCUACAGUUUUUGGCUUCCAAUCCAAUCCUUUUUUUUUUUUUUUUUUUUUUUUUAAAUAAGCUUUUGUUACAAACAUGAAUUUGUGGAAUUGAAUCUGGUUAGGAAAAUAGCUGAAUUUUAGCAUUGCUGAAUUUACUUUUUUAUUCCACAGCAAGGCCAACAACAUUUUUUGGCUUUUGGAACAAACCUCUGUGAGUCAGGUCCCUAAUCCAAUAAAAGAUCCAAUAAAAGAUAAAAUUGGAAAAAAAUGGGUGUGCAAAGUACUUUUAGGGUAGGACCAAUCAUUGGACAUGAUUAUACUGUAGAUCCACUUGUGGUGUGAUUUACAAGAUAUGACUUUUUUUUUU